AUUGAACGCUGGCGGCAGGCCUAACACAUGCAAGUCGAACGAGCGGCGGACGGGUGAGUAAUGUCUGGGGAACUGCCUGAUGGAGGGGGAUAACUACUGGAAACGGUAGCUAAUACCGCAUCCCAUCGGAUGGGCCCAGAUGGGAUUAGCUAGUAGGUGGGGUAAGGGCUCACCUAGGCGACGAUCCCUAGCUGGUCUGAGAGGAUGACCAGCCACACUGGAACUGAGACACGGCCCAGACUCCUACGGGAGGCAGCAGUGGGGAAUAUUGCACAAUGGGCGCAAGCCUGAUGCAGCCAUGCCGCGUGUAUGAAGAAGGCCUUCGGGUUGUAAAGUACUUUCAGCGGGGAGGCGUUACCCGCAGAAGAAGCACCGGCUAACUCCGUGCCAGCCGCCGCGGUAAUAC
rnacentral:rRNA from 1 species